rnacentral:rRNA from 1 species
GUCGCUGGCCUCCGGAAUGGGGGCAUGUGCACGCUCUGUUUACACAUCCACUCACACCUGUGCACCCUUUGUAGUUCUAUGGUUCGGGAGGCCCCGCCUUCCUUCUGUAGCUCUACGUCUUUACACACACACCGUAGUGAAGUUUUAUGGAAUGUUUUUUGCGUUUAACGCUAUACAAUACAACUUUCAGCAACGGAUCUCUUGGCUCUCGCAUCGAUGAAGAACGCAGCGAAAUGCGAUAAGUAAUGUGAAUUGCAGAAUUCAGUGAAUCAUCGAAUCUUUGAACGCACCUUGCGCCCCUUGGAUAUUCCUUGGGGCAUGCCUGUUUGAGUAUCAUGAACACCUCAACUCUCAUGGUUUUCUGUGAUGAGUUUGGACUUUGGGGGUUUGCUGGCCCUGUGGCCGGCUCCUCUCAAAUGAAUUAGCUUGCCAGUGUUUGGUGGCGUCACGGGUGUGAUAACUAUCUACGUUCGUGGCCGUCUGCCAGGUAACCCUCAGCAAUGAAGGUUCAUUGGGGCUCACAAAUGUCUCUUCUUGUGGGGACAACUUUUGAACGUUUGAUCUCAAAUCAGGUAGGACUACCCGCUGAACUUAAGCAUAUCAAUAAGCGGAGGAAAAGAAACUAACAAGGAUUCCCCUAGUAACU